UAAUGAUAGGUGGAGCAACAUCUGUGCGUGAAGCGGGUCAGGGGAGGAAUCCAGCAGCCCUAAGCGAUGUCGGGUGUGUGCUCUUUUUUGAUACAACCA
rnacentral:SRP_RNA from 3 species